GAUGAACGCUGGCGGCGUGCCUAAUACAUGCCAGUCGAGCGAACAGACGAGGAGCUUGCUCCUUCGACGUUAGCGGCGGACGGGUGAGUAACACGUAGGUAACCUACCUAUAAGACUGGGAUAACUUCGGGAAACCGGAGCUAAUACCGGAUAAUAUUUCGAACCGCAUGGUUCGAUAGUGAAAGAUGGCUUUGCUAUCACUUAUAGAUGGACCUGCGCCGUAUUAGCUAGUUGGUAAGGUAACGGCUUACCAAGGCAACGAUACGUAGCCGACCUGAGAGGGUGAUCGGCCACACUGGAACUGAGACGCGGUCCAGACUCCUACGGGAGGCAGCAGUAGGGAAUCUUCCGCAAUGGGCGAAAGCCUGACGGAGCAACGCCGCGUGAGUGAUGAAGGUCUUCGGAUCGUAAAACUCUGUUAUUAGGGAAGAACAAACGUGUAAGUAACUGUGCACGUCUUGACGGUACCUAAUCAGAAAGCCACGGCUAACUACGUG
rnacentral:rRNA from 1 species